rnacentral:rRNA from 1 species
AGCGGCGGACGGGUGAGUAACGCGUGGGUAACCUGCCUCAUACAGGGGGAUAACAGUUGGAAACGGCUGCUAAUACCGCAUAAGCGCACAGUACCGCAUGGUACCGUGUGAAAAACUCCGGUGGUAUGAGAUGGACCCGCGUCUGAUUAGCUAGUUGGUGGGGUAACGGCCUACCAAGGCGACGAUCAGUAGCCGACCUGAGAGGGUGACCGGCCACAUUGGGACUGAGACACGGCCCAAACUCCUACGGGAGGCAGCAUG